AGUGAACGCUGGCGGUAGGCCUAACACAUGCAAGUCGAACGGCAGCACAGGAGAGCUUGCUCUCUGGGUGGCGAGUGGCGGACGGGUGAGGAAUACAUCGGAAUCUACUUUUUCGUGGGGGAUAACGUAGGGAAACUUACGCUAAUACCGCAUACGACCUACGGGUGAAAGCAGGGGACCUUCGGGCCUUGCGCGAUUGAAUGAGCCGAUGUCGGAUUAGCUAGUUGGCGGGGUAAAGGCCCACCAAGGCGACGAUCCGUAGCUGGUCUGAGAGGCUGAUCAGGCACACUGGAACUGUGACACGGUCCAGACUCCUACGGGAGGCAGCAGUGGGGAAUAUUGGACAAUGGGCGCAAGCCUGAUCCAGCCAUACCGCGUGGGUGAAGAAGGCCUUCGGGUUGUAAAGCCCUUUUGUUGGGAAAGAAAUCCAGCUGGCUAAUACCCGGUUGGGAUGACGGUACCCAAAGAAUAAGCACCGGCUAACUUCGUGCCAGCAGCCGCCGUAA
rnacentral:rRNA from 1 species